rnacentral:rRNA from 1 species
CGGGGUGGAGUAAUGUCUGGGAAACUGCCUGAUGAGGGGGAGUAACUACUGGAAACGGUAGCUAAUACCGCAUAACGUCGCAAGACCAAAGUGGGGGGACCUUCGGGGCCUCAUGCCAUCAGAUGUGCCCAGAUGGGAUUAACUAGUAGGUGGGGUAACGGCUCACCUAGGCGACGAUCCCUAGCUGGUCUGAGAGGAUGACCAGCCACACUGGAACUGAGACACGGUCCAG